rnacentral:lncRNA from 1 species
GCCCAGCAGGCACCACCAGGGUCAAUCCCCCUCACCCACUGCACUGAGGAAGCCCAGAACCGGCUCGUGGAGAUCUAAAAGCUGGUGAAAGAUGCAGGGCAAUAAGAAGCGACUCCAUGCCCAUGACUGGAUGGAAGGAAACAGUGAAGCUGCCAGGAGGACACGGAAGGUAAUCCCCACGCGAUGGGCUACAGGGAAGAUAAGCAAGGGAUUUAGAAGUCAAGUCAGGAUGCCCAAAAAGGCUUCUUGGAGGAGGUGGCAAUCCCCUUGUAGUCCCUGGCCUCUACUCUCCACAGAUCUGACCCUACAAUGUACGUUGGAACAAUUUGUUAUUCCUUUCUGCCUGUAUUCCUUUCUGCCUUAUUUUCCUUCUGCCCUUUAAGAAAUACACCCUUCCUUUUCUGUUCCAGGUGGGGCUUGAUGGGCACACUGCCCUAGCCAAUCAGAUUGCCCAUUCUUUUGUCUACAAUGGGAGAAAAGGCUGCUCUUUCUAGACAAAGGACGUAUCUUUCUAGACAAGUCCAUCAGAUUUCAUCCCCGGACCCCACACCCUCCAUUAGGAAAGAAGAUGGCUGUCUCCUUCUCCAGACCGGAUGAGUCAGGAUGAGCACCCAAGCUUGUUUCAGACAGACACAGAACAGAACGAUGCCUUUUGACUCCUGGAGAAUUCUGAUGUUGUAAGGAGCCUGUAACCUGGCAGGCAAAAGGCCUGGCUGAAGAGAGAUUAAAAGAAAGGGAGCAUAGACCCACACUACACGGCCAUUGUAGAUAAGAGUGAGAAUGUGUGGAGUGUAGCAAAGUGUGAUUAGCAAGAUUUAGCAAACUAUUUAAGGGACCAGCAGAACUGGGAACUUUAAAGUGUACCACGACUCUAUGUCCUGGAGCUCUCUUCCUCUAACCUGAAACAACCAGUCCAUCAAGCUGAGACCCAUACAGCAAUACCGGGUCCUCAAGAAACUCAAACAGCCUGAAUUCAGAGGAACAGAAGUAGAGAGCCCAAACCUGCGGGCGGCUGCAGGAGAGGUGCCCCCUGCUGUGAGCCUAUUGUCUGUGGUUCUUAGGAUUGUUUGCUUAUGCUUGUGUGUGUUACUUUGACAUAAGUGUGAAGUAAAACUUAUAUACUCAAACCAACUCGCUGAGUCUGUCAUUCCUCCCAGGUCAAAACCUGGUAAGGGCUCCAGACAGUUGUAAUAAACUGGAAAGAAAGAGACA